rnacentral:rRNA from 1 species
GUCUAUGGCCAUAACACCCUGAAUGUGCUUGAUCUCAUCUGAUCUCAGAAACUAAGCAGGGUCAGGCCUGGUUAGUACCUGGAUGGAAGAAUGAAUAAUAUUUGAUAGCACAAUAAAGUGCCUAUAAUUA